GUCUGUGCGAAGGUAUGUAGAGUCUGGCCUGCCCACUGACUAAUAUUGUUUAAAGGGCCGCGGUAUUUUGACCGUGCGAAGGUAGCAUAAUCAUUAGUCUUUUAAUUAAAGGCUUGUAUGAAUGGUCGGACAAAAAGUAAGCUGUCUCCGGUUAUAAAAAUUGAAUUUGACUUUUAAGUGAAAAGGCUUAAAUAAAACAAAAUGACGAUAAGACCCUAUAAAGCUUUAAAGUGUAAUUUUUUAUUAAAAAUUAUGAAAUUGUAUAACUUAAUUUAAAUUAAAACUUUUUCGUUGGGGCGACGAAAAUAUAACAGCAUAACUGUUUUUACAUUAAUAAGACAGAUAUAUCUGGUUAUAAAUGAUCCUUUAUUAAAGAUUAAAAGUUUAAGUUACUUUAGGGAUAACAGCGUAAUCUUCUUUGAGAGUUCAUAUCGACAAGAAGGGUUGCGACCUCGAUGUUGAAUUAAGGUUCCUUUAUGGUGUAGCAGUUAUAACUGGAGGUCUGUUCGACCUUUAAACCCUUACAUGAUUUGAGUUCAGACCGGCGUAAG
rnacentral:rRNA from 1 species